GGUGGAUUUGGGGGUGUUUUUUUUGGGGGGGGAGGUGGGGUUGGGAUGAUUUUUUUGUUUGUUUCAGGUGGGUGUUCUGGGGGUUGUUCUGAUUUGUGCCAGCCAGAGUGUUCUGACUCAGAGGUGUGCAAAACAGAGAAGGCAGAAACAGCUCUCUAGGGCUUCUGUAGGCCUGGUCUCAUGGGUUUUGCUGUUGGAAUCCCUUCCAGUCUGGGAACAAGAUGGUCAAUAUCAGGCUGCCAGCAGAACUCACACUGGACAACUUAAGCUGCCUGUGCCUCUGCUCUGAAAUUGGUGCUAGGGCAAGAGAGUUGCUGCUUGGCACAGGAUGGUUGAUGCUGCCCCUGCUAUCACAGACACCAUGGAUGGGACUGCUCGUGGGAGAUGUGUAAGACACUCUCCUUUGUACCCUCUUCCCAAGUUUUAGGCUGUGCCAAGUCUGUAAACCCUAUGGACAGCUCAGGACUGCUAUAGCAACAUUUGCAUCACUGCCUGCAGCCUGAAGUGCUGGGAGUCUGGCUUUGGUCAGCAUAAAGAUCCUUCUCCUUGCUCCUUUCAGACCAACCUUUAGGUGCUGGCAAGAAAUCAGAUCUGUCCUUCCUUUACUGAUGUAGGUUAAAAAAACAGUUCUUGUUCUCCCUGUGAGAAAUAUGCAAGGGUUAAGCUCGUGUGAAGGUUGACAGAGGUUGAGCAGAAGUGAUGUGAAGGUUGGAGCCAUGAACCCUUCUAGAGCAGGGAGGGAUUUCUCCUGCUUCCAGAGCCAGUUGCACAAGCUGUUGUUUUUCACCAGCAGAGCAUUACACUGCCAAGACAAGCUGAAGGUCUCUCCUCUGGGCUGGCAGCAGCUUCCUCUUCCUUGGCACCCACCAAGGCCUGUCCUGUUGCACCUCUCAGAGCUUCCUGUCAGUGUUACCUGAGUGGUUCUGUUCUGGGUAGGUAGGAUCUUCCCUCCUCACCUCAGCCUUAUGGUUCCUUUGGUUAUAAACAUCCAGACUUCCUCUGACAAGCCCCUGAACUAGAGUGCUGCCUCAUGCUGAUGGGGCAUCCAUUCCCUAAUCCUGCCAGGAAGAGAACUGGGCUACAGCCAGACUUUAUGUUUAAGGCCCUUUCUACCCCUCAAACCCAUGGCACGAUGCUUGCCUGGGUCUACACACUCCAGAAACAGGAGCAGUUAUUCUGGCUGUAGCUGUCCACAAGUUUUCCAGCAGGCUUCUGUGGCUGAUGAAAGAUGAGCACUGAAGUCUAUCAGGGAGAGCUUUUAAAGAGUGUGCUGGAAGACCAGCAAAGAUGGGACCUAUGAAGGCCUGGUUGCUUAAUACUCUUUCCUUAUAACUUGUUUUCUGCAAGCUGCAUGAAUUUGAAGGUUCGUGGUGAGCAGCAUGUAGCUGUUUGGAUGGGCCAUGGGGCAGCAACCUGCCCAUCCUGCUUCUGACCUUCUCACCUUUGCAUAAGCAUUUUGUAGCACCAUCCAUCACGACGUUGUUUCAUCUUCAAUAGAUGUAGCAGCAGCGAAGCAGCUGGGAAUGCAGUGUUUGUGCUGCUGGCAUCCUGGAGUUUCUGCCUCUGGAGCUGCUGGAGUGGGAUUUUCCCCAGGGUCCCUUAAUGCUGCCUUGAUCAUAAUCCGUUGGAAGGACAGGAGCAGUUCUGCCCCUGUCACCUCUCAGGAUGUGUAAGGGGAAACACCCACACUUUGUGCCAGGCUGAACGCUGAUGGCAGAGAAGCCUUUGUGCUGGGUAAAACAGUUUGCAGGCCAGGAGAUUGCAGAGAACUUGAGGGGCUGCUAGAGAAGAGCAGGUCCUGCGGGCAGUGCAGACAGCACAGCCUGCUCUGUCCUGCUUGGCUUUGGGUUCAGAGAACUUGAGGGGCUGCUAGAGAAGAGCAAGUCCUGUAGACAGCACAGACAGCACAGCCUGCUCUGUCCUGCUUGGCUUUGGGUUCAGCUGGCUGCCUGCUGCUGCAUCGAUCAUCUCUACAGACAGGGCAUUACUCCUCUAGAGAAACAGUGGUGUGGUCAGGGACCCAUUAUCUCCUGAGAGCAGCAGCCUGGCACUGUGGUGAUCCCUUGCUCCCCUUCUAGCACGUCUACUGGGUGGCAGACCUCAGACCAUGUCUCACUGUGUGGAAGGAGCUGGAACUCAAAUGCACUCUUCAGGACUCUCACUUUUCCCCCCCUCUCUUUAAGCCAUACAAUGACCCUGGUUUGGAUUUAGUUUCCAGUUUUAGGAAGCAUUUUAUUUUGCCCCUGAUUGGUGAUUGAUUGAUGGUGCAUUCCUUUCUUCAGCCUGGCUAGCAGAGCAGGACAACAUGCUCUGGUUUCUUUGGACCCAGCCCUUCCUCCCCACUGUUUGGAUUCCUUUAUUUAUUUCUUUUUCUUUCCCAAAUAUAAGAUGAGCAAAAAAAAAUCUUAUCUUGGGAACAAAGAUGUAGUAUAGCAACCAAGCUAGUGUAGCAACCAUGCUUCCCUGCCCUCCUGAGAAGUGAUUUCCCUUCUGCUGCUAAGGGACAAGCAAGAAAAUAAGUCAGAGGGAUGCUUUCUGGAAAGGGGAAUUUCCUUCUCCUGAAGAAGGAUAGAAGAGCAAAAGCUCCUGUGGUGUGGGCAGGCUGCUGUUUGCUCACUGGAGUUUCUCAAGCCACAGGAAAGGUUUUCCCUGUCUGGAAAGGGGAAUUUCCUUCUCCUGAAGGAUAGAAGAGCAAAAAGCUCUUGUGGUGUGGGCAGGCUGCUGUUUGCUCGCUGUGGUUUCUCAAGCAUCCCUUGUCUGUAGGGAGGGGAAGAUUUACUUCACAUCAGGAAGAAGGCUGAGGAGUGCACACCUCAAAAAGCCAGGAUUGGGUCAGCUCUCAGGCAGCACCGUGGCCUAUUUCCAGGGUUUUCAUUCACCUAAGCUAUUCUGAUGUCCCUGUUCCUAGAGGUGAGAGCUGAUGCUCCAGCAGGUGCCCCUUGAUUUUGAUCUCAGUGCUUGAUAAUACCUGGUCUUGUUUUCUCCCUGUUGCCCAAAGAAACCCCUUCAUUCCCUGCCCCCAAAGGUGCCAACUGCCAAGCAGAUGUACUGCAAAAGGGAUCCUGCAGCCAAAACACUGCUGUUUUCUUUUGGAACAAGUCUCGUGGAGCUCUCUUCAUGCUAGAAUAUUUCUAUUUUCUUUGUACAACAUACAAUCAUGUACUCUUAACAGAGAUUUUUACUUUAAAGAGAAAGGAAAGAAAGAAAAAAAAAAAUCUGGAAGUAUAAAAAAAGAAAGAAAAAUACACACAAAAAAAAAUCUUUAUUAAUAAUCCUGUAUUUUUACUGAUCAUAUUUGAAUGUCUAAAACAAACAAACAAACAAAAAAAAAAGACUUUAUUGUUCUAAUUAUCCAGAUGUAUGUUUGUAAAAUAGCUCUUUUAUGACUUAGCUUGAUAAGGUUGUAUGUUUCUGGAAUUAAAUAUUGGUCACUUAAAAGAAUAAAUAAAUAAAGAAAGCUGUUUUCAAGGAUCUGGGACAUAGAAAAUUGAAAGCGUUUCAAAUAUCAUUAAAUAAGCUUAAAGGAAA